rnacentral:misc_RNA from 1 species
UCAAACUUGGUCAUUUAGAGGAAGUAAAAGUCGUAACAAGGUUUCCGUAGGUGAACCUGCGGAAGGAUCAUUAACGAGUUUUGAAGUGGGAUUGAUGCUGGCCUCCCGAGGCAUGUGCUCGUCCUCGCUCAUCCACUCUCACAACACCUGUGCACCGUUGAGGCAUGGCCCCCCCUUCGAUGGAGCCGUUCCCCCCCUUCUCGAAAGGGGAGGGGGGUCGAGCCGGGGUCAGGCCUUUUCUUACUUUAUCACAAACAACUUGAAAUGUAUAUUCGGAAUGUGAUCGUCAUUAUGUUAAUGAAACAAUACAACUUUCAACAACGGAUCUCUUGGCUCUCGCAUCGAUGAAGAACGCAGC